rnacentral:rRNA from 1 species
GACGAACGCUGGCGGCGUGCUUAACACAUGCAAGUCGAACGGAAAGGCCCUGCUUUUGUGGGGUGCUCGAGUGGCGAACGGGUGAGUAACACGUGAGUAACCUGCCCUUGACUUUGGGAUAACUUCAGGAAACUGGGGCUAAUACCGGAUAGGAGCUCCUGCUGCAUGGUGGGGGUUGGAAAGUUUCGGCGGUUGGGGUUGGACUCGCGGCUUAUCAGCUUGUUGGUGGGGUAGUGGCUUACCAAGGCUUUGACGGGUAGCCGGCCUGAGAGGGUGACCGGCCCCAUUGGGACUGAGCUACGGCCCAGACUCCUACGGGAGGCAGCAGUGGGGAAUAUUGCACAAUGGGCGGAAGCCUGAUGCAGCAACGCCGCGUGCGGGAUGACGGCCUUCGGGUUGUAAACCGCUUUCGCCUGUGACGAAGCGUGAGUGACGGUAAUGGGUAAAGAAGCACCGGCUAACUACGUG